GAUGAACGCUGGCGGCGUGCCUAAUACACGUAAGUCGAGCGAACGGACGAGAAGCUUGCUUCUUUGUUGUUAGCGGCGGACGGGUGAGUAACACGUGGAUAACCUACCUAUACGACUGGGAUAACUUCCGGAAACCGGAGCUAAUACCGGAUAAUAUUUUGAACCGCUUGGUUCAAAAGCCAUAGACGCUCUUGCUGUCACUUAUACAUGGAUCCGCGCUGCUUUAGCUAGUUGGUAAGGUAACGGCUUACCAAGGCAACGAUGCAUAGCCGACCUGAGAGGGUGAUCGGCCACACUGGAACUGAGACACGGUCCGGACUCCAACGGGAGGCAGCAGUAAGGAAUCUUCCGCAAUGGGCGAAAGACUGACGCAGGACCGCAGCAUGAAUGAUGAGGGUCUUCGGAUCGUAAAACUCUGUUAUUAGGGAAGAACAUAUGUGUAAGUAACUGUGCACAUCUUGACGGUACCUAAUCAGAAGGCCACGGCUAACUAGGUG
rnacentral:rRNA from 1 species